UUGACAACAGGUUUGAAGCAUUGAGUCUGAAGCAUUGUGGACUUCCUUAAGACCUUUCAUAUCCAAACAAGGUAGCUUUAAUUGUUUUUCUUUCCCAUAUUGGAAGUUUUGUACCUGCAGAUGUUGCUACUGUGGGCUUGACUGACAGGUAGCUUUAAUUGUUUUCCUUUCCCAUAUUGGAAGUUUUGUACCUGCAGAUGUUGUUACUGUGUGUUUAACUGACAGGUUCGAUUUUUAUAUCCCUAGCCUUUUGGUAUCAUUAAUUUUUUUGGUAAUGCAUUUUUGCAUAUUUUACUACGAGAACUUACCAGAAUUCCAAAAAGUAGGAUAUUUUGUGCCAUGGGAAGCAAAUUUAUGAAUGCUGAACAAUCAACAUUUAUGAUUGAUCUACAUCAAGUUGGAAUGACGCUGAGGUCGAUGAUGAUAUACGGAUGAUGAUCCAAGUUAGGUUUUGUUCCAAUCAAACGCUAUAUCUUCUUCAGCUAUUACGAGGCAAAUAUGUACAUGUUUUUAUGUAUUGGUGUAUCUUCGAGGGUUCUCUGACUCUCUCUCUCUCUCUCUCUCUCUCUCUCUCUCUCUCUCUCUCAGCAGCACUGUAAUGAUGUAUUUGUUUUUGGCUCUCCACAAAAUGUAAUUUGUUUACACUUUUUGGAGAGUAUGUAAUUUGUAUGCAAUCAUUUUUUGAACCAUAAAAUGAUUGCUGCUGUUUAUAUUUAAUUUUACAGUUUAUAUUAUGGUUGCCGGUUUGGUAUUAUGUUGAUAUAUUGAUGGUAGUUAAUUUGUGUAU